rnacentral:rRNA from 1 species
UACAGGGGGUGCAAACGUUGCUCGGAAUCAUUGGGCGUAAAGCGCACGUAGGCGGUUCGUUAUGUCGGAUGUGAAAGCCCUUGGCUUAACCGAGGAAGUGCACUACCGAACUGGCGAGCUAGAGUACGAAAGAGGAUCGCGGAAUUCCCGGUGUAGAGGUGAAAUUCGUAGAUAUCGGGAGGAACACCGGUGGCGAAGGCGGCGAUCUGGGUCGAUACUGACGCUGAGGUGCGAAAGCGUGGGGAGCAAACAGG